AUUCCAGCUCCAAUAGCGUAUAUUUAAGUUGUUGCAGUUAAAAAGCUCGUAGUUGGAUCUUGGGUCGUAAGGGUCGGUCCGCCUACUCGGUGUGCACCUGCCCUUCUGUCCCUUUUGUCGGCGGCGUGCUCCUGGCCUUAAUUGGCUGGGUCGCGGUUCCGGCGCUGUUACUUUGAGAAAAUUAGAGUGCUCAAAGCAAGCUUAUGCUCUGAAUACAUUAGCAUGGAAUAACGUGAUAGGAGUCUGGUCCUAUUGUGUUGGCCUUCGGGACCGGAGUAAUGAUUAAUAGGGACUGUCGGGGGCAUUCGUAUUUCAUUGUCAGAGGUGAAAUUCUUGGAUUUAUGAAAGACGGACCACUGCGAAAGCAUUUGCCAAGGAUGUUUUCAUCA
rnacentral:rRNA from 1 species